GACGAACGCUGGCGGCGUGCUUAACACAUGCGAGUCGAACGGAAAGGCCCUGCUUUUGUGGGGUGCUCGAGUGGCGAACGGGUGAGUAACACGUGAGUAACCUGCCCUUGACUUUGGGAUAACUUCAGGAAACUGGGGCUAAUACCGGAUAGGAGCUCCUGCUGCAUGGUGGGGGUUGGAAAGUUUCGGCGGUUGGGGAUGGACUCGCGGCUUAUCAGCUUGUUGGUGGGGUAGUGGCUUACCAAGGCUUUGACGGGUAGCCGGCCUGAGAGGGUGACCGGCAACAUUGGGACUGAGAUAAGGCCCAGACUCCUACGGGAGGCAGCAGUGGGGAAUAUUGCACAAUGGGCGGAAGCCUGAUGCAGCAACGCCGCGUGCGGGAUGACGGCCUUCGGGUUGUAAACCGCUUUCGCCUGUGACGAAGCGUGAGUGACGGUAAUGGGUAAAGAAGCACCGGCUAACUACGUG
rnacentral:rRNA from 1 species